rnacentral:lncRNA from 1 species
GGUAGAAUGAUGCGGGGGAAGGUGUAGGGGGGGCACUUGAACCAGGAUACUGAGGCUUAGGAGGAGAUAGACUUUGGAUAAAAACUUUUUAAAAGUUAAUUUUUAUUGGAGUAUAGUUGCUUCACUCGGGGUUCCUGAAUGGGUCAGACAAUAAGAAAUCUGCCUGCAAUGCAGGAGACACGAGUUUAACCCCUGGGUUGAGAAGAUCCCCUGGAGGAGGGUAUGGCAACCCACUCCAGUAUUCUUGCCUGGAGAAUUCCAUGGGUAGAGGAGUCUGGUGGGCUACAGUCCAUGGGGUUGAAGAGUCAGACAUGACUGAGCAGCUGACACAUGCAUAGUUGCUUUACAGUGUUGUGUUAGUUUCCGCUGUACAGCAAAGUGAAUUAGCUAUAUGUAUACAUGUGGUCCCUAUUUUUUGGGUUUCCUUCCCAUUUAGGUCACCACGGAGCACUGAGUAGAGUUCCCUGUGCUAUACAAUAGGUUCUCAUUAGUUAUCUAUUUUAUACACAGUGACUUUUGAUAAAAACUUUUAACUAUUUUGUUCUUUUUUUUUUUUGCAUAAAUAUAAAAGUGUUCCUGGGACUUCGCUGGUAGGAAGUCCAGUGGCCAAGAAUUUGCGCUCCCAAUGCAGGGCGGCUGGGCUCAAGUCCUGGUUGGGGAACUAGAUCCCACAAGAAGUGACUAAGAGUGCAAAGGCCACAGCUGAAGAGUCCACACGUUGCAAGUAAAGAUUCCAGAUACAACAACUAAAGAUCUUGCAUGCCACAACCAAGACCUGGCAGCCAAACAAAUACAUUAAACAAAUAUUUUAAAGUGUUUCAAAACUUCCAAGAUCUUAGAAGAUGGUGACUGAAAGACUCAAGGAGUGUUGUUCAUUUUAAAGGAUUAAGAAAAAGUCCGAGAACUACAAAAGAUGAAGCAGCCAAAGCUGAAUGAUCUACUACAAUCGUUUGUAAAGCCUGUCCCUGGCCCCAGAGACCCAAGAAGAUUGUAUCUUUCAGGUCAGGAGUCCCAGGCUAUUGUUCCGGCAUAUCCACUCUCAGGGAGAGGAAAGGAGACCCAUGAUUUAUAGCAGUUGCCUUGUGGAAAUGCUGCCAUCACGGAGGAUUUCAAGCACCCACUGAGAUGUCUCUGAACACAGAACUGGGGACAGAUGGGCACACUCAGUUCUUUACUAGGCAUGGGCUGCAGCACGCCAGAGUCCGCGGCCCUUGUU